CUGCAACCUGUCCUGUGGGUGGAGAGAUUCUGGGUUCCCCAACUCUGAUUUGAGGACCUCCUCAGCCCCUGCCUGGUGACAGUUGGAUCCCCUUCUGCUAUCAGUGUUUGCCUCUGAAGAAUCCACAAACCUCAGGAUGCAGUCACCGUCAUCUGUGAUUUUCUAGACAAACUGUGGAUGUGGAGAAGCUUCACUCUGGGGCCUGCACAGCAUUAGUUACAAAAGGUUAUGGAGCGAUCACUUCUCCUGGAUGUUUGUGGUGUUAUUAACUGGUGUGCGAAUGACAACAGAAGACCUCUAGGGCCUUUAGCCUCCCAUCAGAGGGACGCCAGACAAGCUCAAGUGCAGCUCAAGAGAGACUUACAGAACAACGUGGGUCGCCAGCUUGCAAAAGGCAGAGGGUGAGAGUCCAGCCGAGAAGUGGCCCUGGACACAUCCAGCCCAGAUUCCCAACAGCACCCAGAAUGGAAGGGCUGAAAAAGAACAGCCACAAGCGCCCCAGUCAGCCUGCGGACCUUGUGCUUUCGAGGCAAGCACCAUACCACUGAGCUAAAUCCCUGGCCCCAUUCAGUGUUUCCUUGUGGUGAGACCAUUCAAAAUUCAUCCUUCCACUUGUUUUGAAAUACACAUAACAAGCCCAGC
rnacentral:lncRNA from 1 species